rnacentral:rRNA from 1 species
UACGAAGGGGGGCUAGCGUUGCUCGGAAUCACUGGGCGUAAAGCGCACGUAGGCGGACUCUUAAGUCGGUGGUGAAAUCCUGGAGCUCAACUCCAGAACUGCCUCCGAUACUGGGAGUCUUGAGUCCGGGAGAGGUGAGUGGAACUGCGAGUGUAGAGGUGAAAUUCGUAGAUAUUCGCAAGAACACCAGUGGCGAAGGCGGCUCACUGGCCCGAUACUGACGCUGAGGUGCGAAAGCGUGGGGAGCAAACAGG